rnacentral:lncRNA from 1 species
UAGGUCCUACCUGGGCAUGAAAUUUUGGUGGUGAUCCUACAAAGGAGAAAGUAGCAACGUUUUUGUUUGGUGUAAACUAAGGAUUUGAGUAGACUCGUCCCUGUGCAGAUUUUGCUCUCCCCUGCCGAUACUUGUUGCUGUCCAGGAAAUUUUUCUCUUCUUUUUUUUACAUCAGCUUCAUGGUGCCAUUGUGGGAUUUGUACAUAGAGAUAAAAUAAUUGCCUUUAUUAAAUAGCCAAACUAUAGAGUUAAAAAGACGUGAUGAUGUCUGCAUUGUUGGAUACUUGGAUGUCAGAUGUAUGGCUUUUUUCUCCCCUUGCUUUGCCAAAGCGCCUGAUUUGCCAUUUCUUUGUCACUGCGAAAAUAUUCAUGUGUAUGGUUUGAGAUGGCCUAUUCUAGACUCGAACUUGAAAAUCAGUGGCGACAUGGAUUUAUAAAGGAGUGUUUGCUCAGUGUCCCUUGCUUUGUUCGCUCGUCACGGUCGAUUCACAGCAACACCGGCGGUGGAUGGCAAAGUGGAGCCCAACAAAGCAAGGGGUGGUACGAGGGCGAGUUGCCGGCGACAAAGGAUCGUCAAUGUUGGUGGAGCAAAGCGCGGAGACCUCGUUAGAGCAUCAAUCAUUUCUUUCCCACUCACUACCCACCUCAAAUCGGUCCUGUACGUUUGGGCUGAUCAGUACCCUUAUACCCAGCUCAUAUAUGAGGCGGAUAUGGGGAUGCCCCGACGCAUCAGCCACGUCCGAACGACGACAAGGACCCAUGCCCAAAUCUCUUCAAGACGUUCCUGGCCUAGCCUGUCAUGUCCUCUUCAAAUCUCUUUUCCAUCUCAUCCACACAACUGCCACCAUACCUCCGCCGCCACUCUAUCUCCACCGCCAUCCCCAAACCACAACACCGCUGACCGUGCCGCCAUCGGACAAGGUUGCCACCCAGUACGUGCAACUCCUCCAGACAAACACCUCGCACUGCAUGUGUUCUAUAAAAUGCCCAAGCAUUUUUUCUCAAUUUUUUGCCCAUUUGUAGGUCAACGAUGAAUUCGUCGUCGGACGAUGAGUAUGGAAACAAGGACCUUGACCAAUUCAUAUACAAAGAGUUCAUUGAUUCGUCAGAUUCAGACGACCAAGAUGCCAAAGUGAUGAUGAUGAUGAUCAACAUCCAAAAAUAAUUGAAGAAGCUAGAGGAGCAUGUGCUAAAACUUCAAGGAUUCAAUAAAGGGCAGAGAGUGGCUCCCUCGGAUAGGAUCGCAGGCACAAAACCUCUCUACAAGGACUACUUCAAACCGGACCCAACUUACCACAGAGGCCCCUUUUGACGCCGCUUCCUGAUGAGCAGAGAUUUGUUCUUGCGCGUAGUGAAUGCCAUGGAGGAGGUUGAUGACUACUUCAAUCUGAGGAAGGACUGUUGUGGCAACUUUCCUUCUCACCUCUGCAGAAAUGCACAACUGCUAUGAGGAUGCUUGCUUAUGGCAAGGCCUAGAUGCCAUUGAUGCUGAAAUCCGGAUAGGAGAGACCACAUGCCUGAAUACCAUGGUGCAAUUUGUACGCACCGUGGUGAAGGUGUUUGGAGCGGAGUACCUGAGAGAAUCAAAUGUCGAAGACACAGAAGGGUUGACGAUAAUUGGAGCGACAAGAGGUUUUUCAAGUAUGCUUGCCUCAGUUGAUUGCAUGCAUUGGCAAUGGAAGAACUGCCCAAAGGUAUGCACAACAGUACCGAGGUCACACCAAAGAGGCCACCAUCACACUUGAAACAGUGUCAUCAAAGGACUUGUGGAUUUGGUAGACUUUCUUUAGCACGUAUGGUUCUAACAAUGGCAUAAAUAUGCUCCAAUGAUCUCCUUUGUUCGAGCAAAUUUGUGAUGGGGAAGCUCCAGCGUGCAACUACAUCUUCAACAUGCACAACUACAACAUGGGGUACUACCUUGCUGAUGAUAUCUAUCCUCAAUGGGCGACGUUUGUGAAGACUAUAUCCGAUCACCAUGGGAGGAAACAAAUGCCUCUUUGCAAAAAUGCAAGAAGGUGCAAGAAAGGAUGUGGAGAGGGCAUUCAGAGUGCUCCAAGUUCAUUACGGUAUUGUUUGUGGAGCUGCAAUGAUCUGCAAACCGGAGUCACUCUGACAACUCAUGACAUGUGUAAUCUUGCACGACAUGAUUGUGGAGGAUGAGGGCGAAGGGGCUGCCCGCACGCAUUUAUUUUGGGAAGCCCGGAUUAACGUUCGCUCCCGGAACAAGAUGUGGAGCAUGUUGCCAACUUUUUUGAGAUGCAUCGACAACUUUGAGAUCCACACGUGCACAUUGAUACGCCCAUUUUGCAUCAUGUUUUUCCAACUGUUAUUUAUUAUGUUUUAGGUCAUUAUUUCACUUUAUGAUGCUAUUCUAAUGCCUUUUCUCUCUUAUUUUGCAAGUUUCACACUAAGGGGGAGAUUGCCGUCAGCUGGAAUUCUGGACCUGAAAAAGGUACAAUAGAGAUAGAUAUUCUCCACAACUCCGAAUGACCUGAAUAUUUACAGAGAAUUAUUUUGGAAUAUAUACAAAAUAUUGGUGGAAGAAAUACCAGAAGGGGGGCCACCAGAGAGCGACGAGCUCAGGGGGCGGACCCUAUGAGCUCGUGGCCCUCCAGCAGGCCUCUGGUGCCCAUCUUCUACUAUAUGAGGCUAUUUGCCCUAUAAAAAUAAAUAAAGAGAAGACUUCUGAAAUGAAAUGCUGCCGUCUUGAGGUGGAACCUAGGCAGGAGCAUUUUUUGCUCUCCGGCGGAGUGAUUUCACCGGGGGAACUUCCCUCUGGGAGGGGGAAAUCGAAGCCAUCGACAUCACCAACAAUCCUCUCAUCGUGCGGGGACCAAUCUUCAUCAACAUCUUCACCAACACCAUCUCCUCUCAAACCCUAGUUCAUCCCUUGUAUUCAAUUUUUGUCCCAAAACCUCAGAUUGGUAUCUGUGAGUUGCUAGUAGUGUUGAUUACGUCUUGUAGUUGAUGGUAGUUGGUUUAUUUGGUGGAAGAUUAAAUAUUCAGAUCCUCAAGCAUAUUCAAUACACCUAUGAUCUUGAACAUGAAUAUGAUUUUUGAGUAGUUACUUUUAUUCUUGAGGACAUGAAAGAAGUCUUGUUAUAAGUAAUCAUGUGAAGUUGAUAUUCGUUCGAUAUUUUGAUGAUAUGUAUGUUGUUCUUCCUUUAGUGGUGUCAUGUGAACGUCGACUACAUGACACAUCACCAUACUUGGGCCUAAGGGAAGGCAUUGUGGAGUAAUAAGUAGAUGAUGGGUUGCAAGGGUGACAGAAGCUUAAACCUAGUUUACGUGUUAUUCCGUAAGGGGCUGAUUUGGAUCCAUAUGUUUCAUGCUAUGGUUAGAUUUAUAUUAAUUCUUCUUUCGUAGUUGACGAUGCUUGCGAGAGGGGGUAAUCAUAAGAGGGCUACUUGUUCAAGUAAGAACAACACCCUAGCAUCGGUCCACCCACAUAUCAAAUUAUCAAAGGAGCGAACACGAAUCAACUAAACAUGAUGAACAUGACUAGAUGACAAUUCCCAUGUGUCCUCGAGAACGCUUUGCUUACUAUAAAAUUCUGGAUUCUCCUUUGCUAUUAAAAGGAUUGGGCCACCUUGCUGCACCUUUGUUACCAUUGCUACUUGUUACGAAUUACAUUGCUUGCCGCUACUUUCAGUACUUGCAAUGCAUACCUUGCCGAAAACCGCUUAUCAUUUUCUUCUGCUCCUCGUUGGGUUCGACACUCUUAUCGAAUGGACCAUGAUUGAUCCCCUAUACUUGUGGGUCAUCAAGACUCUUUUCUGGUGCCAUUGCCAGGGAGUGAAGCGCCUUUGGUAAGUGAAAUUUGGUAAGGGAACAUUUUUAUCACGUGCUGAAAUUUACUGUCACUUGUCACUAUGGAAAAUAAUCCUUUGAGGGGCUUGUUCGGGGUAUCUUCACCUCGACCGGAAUCAGUAAGAAUUGCCCCAAAACCUACUGAAAAUAUUUAUUAUGAGAUUCCUUCGGGUAUGUUGGAGAAACUGCUAGCUAACCAUUAUGCAGGAGAUGGAACAAUACAUCAUGAUAUGCACUUGAUAUAUAUAGAUAAAAUUUAUGGAUUGUUUAAGCUUGUAGGUUUAUCCGAAGAUGGAGUUAAGAAGAAGGUAUUUCCUUUAUGUUUGGGGGGGGGGGGAGGCAUUGACAUGAUAUAGGCUAUUGGAUGAUACUGGAACAUGGGAUUAGAACCGGUUGAAGCUCGAAUUUCAUCCAAAGUUUUAUCCUAUGCAUUUGGUUCAUCGUGAUAGGAAUUAUAUACAUAUAAUUUUUGGCCUCAUGAAGGAGAAAGUAUCGUUCAAGCUUCAUCGAGGCUUAAAUAUAUGAUGCACACAUGCCCCCAUCAUGAGCUCUUAGGAGAGAUAAUUAUUCAAAACUUUUAUGCUCGGCUUUCUCAUAAUGAUCAAUCCAUACUCGAUACUUCUUCUAUUGGUUCCUUUAUGAGGAAAACUAUUGAAUUCACACUACUAGGGAAAACCUUAUACACAGAAUCUUAGCAGUAGCGCUGGACAAAAAGGGGCGCUACUGCUACUUAGCAGCAGCGCGUUACCACAACGAGCGCUACUGCUAUCUCCAUAGCAGUAGCGCGACAAGAAGAAAAAGCGCUAGUACUAAAAUUGCCCCACCGUUGCCGCCAGGCUAGGUUUAGUAGUAGCGCUCUUGCUGGAACCACGCUACUGCUAUUGCGAUUAGCAGUAGCGCUUUACCCUAACACGCGCUACUGCUAAACCCACCCUAUCUUCUCCACCGCACGCCCCUCACUCUCCCCUCUCCACUCCAUUCUCACUCUCCCCCGCACCCCGUCGUCCGCUGCCGCCGACGUUCGGCCCUCCCCGACCACCGUCGUCGCCCGCCGCCGCCGACGCUCCUCCUCCUCCUGCACUGAGAUAGUUCCUCCAUCCCUCCUCCUUCCACGUCCCUUUCAUCCUCGUCCCUCCCCCGAUCCCUCCCUCCCUCCUUCCUCCUCCCUCUCCCUCCUUACUCCCGCCUCCUCCCUCUCACCUCCCUCCCUGCCUCAUCCAUCCUCCUCCUCCCUGCCUCAUCUGUCCUCCUCCUCCCUUCCUCCCUUCCACCUCCCUCUCCCUCCUCAUCCGUCUCUCCCUUACUAGAAAUUUUUAGGUAUUAAAUUUAGUAAUAGAAGUUUGUAGUAAGAAAAUUUAGGGUAGAACUAGGGUAAUAGAAAUUUUAGUAAGUGUUCAAUAGAGUAGAACACUUACAUUGCAUUGUUUUUAGUAAGUGUUUAAUAGAACUAGUUUAUUUGGUAAGUGGUUCAUAGAACUAGUUUAGAGAGAGAUACAUGUAUUGCCAAAUUUAGUUAUGUUAGGAUUAUAUAUAAGAUAUAUUGAAAUAUUUUUGUUAGUAUUUUCAACCAUUGAAAUGCAAUGAGCAUCAAGUUUGAAUGCUCAUGUGUGAGUGCUCAUGUGGCGCAGGGUACGUAGAUCACCGCCGAGCCGGUCGACGACGCCCAGAAGAUCACCGACGACACCCGCACCCUCGACAACCAUCGUCUAUAGUGAGUAAACAUGUAUACAUAGUGUUGUGUACUAGCUAGUGUUGCUCAAAUAUGAUGUAGAUAUAAACAUGUAUAUCUAGUGUUGCUCAAAUGGGAUAUGUGCUUGCCCAAGUGGCCUAUGUUUGCAGGGAACACCUCCGAGUGGCCUAUGUUUUGCCGGAGUGUUGAUUAAUUUCUGUUCCGGCAAAUUUUAGGCGCUCGAUAUGUCCUUUUUUUUAGCAAAGGCCAUGUUGGAUUUUUUCAUGAAUUUUAGCAUGGCUUGUGCUAGAAUGUAGGAAAUAUCGAGUGCGCUGGAUUUGCCGGAAAGAGCAUUUAACAACAUUUUGGGUCGACUUUAAGUCUGUUGGGGCUCCAUAUAUGACAAUCAGAAAACAGUGGGAGAGUUUCCACCAUAUACGAGAGAAGAAGAAUGCCGACUGUUGUUGUGGGGGUCGUUCUUCCUCUUCUUUCUCAUGAUAGACCUUUUGGUAAUGCACGGGAAGGAAGAGAAGAACGACCAUCACCGACGGUCGCAAAUGUCAGAGAGGGAGAAUCCCGACUGUUGUUGUGGGGGUCACUUCUCCUCUAUUCCCGUGUGCUAGAAAUUUUGUUGCAAAGCACUCGGGAACGAAGGGAGGAGCUACCAUCACCGACGGUCAAAAUAACUGUGAGGGAGGGUCCACCAUAUACACCACAUGAGCUGAGAGUUUUCAAGGAAAGUCUUGACAGACUGAUAGUCAACCCGUGAUGAAUAAUAAUGAUCUAAUUUAGUUUUUGUAGCACAUAUAUUGAAUUUUAGAAGUUUAAUCUUUGAAUUAUGAACAUAGGAAAUGUCUGACAAUGACGAUAGGAUCCCGGAGUGCGACUACUGCGGCGACGACCGGGGUCUGUGUGACAGGCCUCAUCUGGUAGACGGUCGGCGCUUCAGUAUUAAGCUCAAUGAGACCUUCGAUGUUGAAACGACACGCAAUGACGAGAAGUGUUUUUUUCGUAAUUAAGCAUGACUUCUGCUUCUUCAACAUGUAAUUUCCGUAUUUUACAAUUCGACUAGCUUAUCCCAUGCCAUGCAAGACGCUAUGUCUUGGAGAAGGUGAAUUUCGAAGAUCAUGAGAAUAUGGAGACGAAGAUAGUUCACCUCAGGACCCAUCAUGGUUAUGCUUUUGCCGUAAAGCUAUACAAUUCGAAGAGCGUAUCCCAUUUUGGUUGCUCGAAUUGGGAAGCACUGUACAAGGCGUAUGGUUUUCAGGAGGGUAUGCAUGUCACCCUCGAUCUUGGUGAUCCUGAAGAUGACAUCAACGAAGAGAAUAUCGACAUUUGGAUCCUUGUUGAUAUGCUUCCACUUCUACCUCUAUGUGAGUUUCUCAAACAUAUUUAUUAAGUAAUUUAUAUUGUUUAUUUCAAAAUAUUUGAUAGCUUAUUUCCAUUGACAACUUAUUUUGAUUCUUCAAAAAAUUUACGGAAGAUGGUAGACAGAACCUACUACACUGAUGGCUCUGAAUUACCUUAUGAGGAGAAAGACCAUCUUAUCUCAUUUAUUGUUGAUGUUUAGAAUUACAAUAUCAAUUACAAAACUCCUGCACAUUAUGGUCAAUACGUGCCACUAGUGCACGUGUUGAACUAUGGUAACAUCCAUGGAGAUGGCAUGGUAAGAUUUUUUACUAUUACGACAUCUGUGCAUCUUUUGCAUACAUUCUUCUAAAGCUAAACUACAUUGCUUAGUACAACGUUUUUAUUAUGUUUUUCAAUAGAAAAUCCCAAAGGAUUGUGUGCCUGAUUUGAUGUUUCUGAAAGGUCAUCUUGAUGUUAUUAGCUUAUGGCCAAGUCCUCCUAGGCUUCAUCGCUGUUCAUACAAGAUUUCUCAAACCGAUGAAGACAUGACAAUCAAAGAAUGGAAUAAAUGUAUGAAGAAUCAUAGGGAGCUACUUGGAAGCAACAUUGUGCAAAGCGCAAGAAUUGGAGGCAGGAUAAUCUCCAUUCUCCAUAAUGGAGAGUCAGGGCCUACCUUGUUUUAUGCUAUUUUAUCUUAGAGAGGGUAGUAGGUCCUAAGAACAAUUAAUUAGGGUUGGUUAGAUGACUAUGAUGAUGAUGAUGAGUAUGACUUGUUAUUAUGCAUCCACAGUGCUUAGGGCGGUAAAUUCCUGCUUAGAAAAAGCUAGAGCACGCAUGGUCUCUUCAUUCGUCGAUGAUUCAUCACGCUCUCCACUUCGGAAUUUGUGACGGAUACGUCAUCCGGAUCCUCAUGAGGUGGAUGAGUCGGCGCCACAUCCGUAUUGGCUCUCGUCUUGGUCGAUGAGCCCGGUGUUGGAUUGGCUGAUACUUGGCUAGCUGGGGUUUUGGACACGGUUCGCCGUGUGCUCCUCCUGGAAUAAGAUGGGGGGGGGGGAGAAAUAUGACAAUCUCAUCUUAUGCCUAGGCACAUAUUGAAGGUUAUACUUCUUUGAUGACAGAGGGGGUUCGAUGGUGCUCCCGGUUUCCUUUCGUUUUGAAGGCUCACCCUGCGUAGAUGCUACCUUCCUAGGGGCCGCCCUCCAUUGGGUACGGAUCGCUGAGCGCUGAUCCUAUAAAUCACGGUUCAGUGUGAUGGUGGAGACGCGAGUGGGGGCUCCUCUUUUUGAGGAUGAUUUCUGAACACUUACCCUGGAGAUGGGGAGAAGGUCGGGGUAGUCGGCUAUAAUAGCCACUUUCGAGCCGUUAAGGCUCGCUUGACAAAAGAUUCCAUCAUCAAACUCUAUAAAUAUAUCCGAAUCCUCGUGGAAGCCGGGGUCUUCGUUGCGAGCAUGGUCCUCUGGCUGAGGGGAGGGGCAAUGGACAUUUUCAACUACCUUCCUCCAUGUCUGCUUUAAGACAACCAGAAUAAUUUGAUUAACACAUCUCGAUAACGAGGUAGAACAAUGCUGAUAAUCAAUGACUUACCCAUUGAAUGGGGUUGUACAUGGAAAAACCUUCCCGACAAUUUAAGCGGAUGAAUUCUUCUUUCCCCCCCUUAUAAAGAUCUUCCAGAAUGGCGACCAGAGCUGCUGGGGUAUCCGGGCCCUCGCGCUUAUAGCGAGAUGCAUCGUCCUCCCCGUUGUAACACCAUAAAGGGGUCACUCUGGACUGAAGGGGCUGGAUGCAUCGCUUUAUUGCGAUGGCCAUAACUUCGAUAACAGAGAGUCUGGACUGGGCAAGUAAUCUGACCUUGCUAUCUAACCUCAUAACUUCCACACUAUCUUCUUGCUUGGGGCUCCGGGGGCACCAACUGAGUAGUUUCUUCAAAGGUGCACUGACGAAUUCGGGAAGUCCGCGCCGAACUGGGUCCGGAAGGGGAACAUCCUCAACAUAAAACCAUUCCGAAGACCAUUCUUCAGACCCCUUCUCGGGAGUUCCAAUAGGGUAGCAUGAUCCGGCUAUGCGCCAAACUUCGGCGCCGCUCACUUCAAAUAUAGAACCACCUUGAUGGCGGGGAAUGAGGCAAAAUAACUUUCUCCAUAGUUCAAAAUGAUCCUCGCAGCCUAAAAAUAGUUCGCAGAGAGCGACAAAACCCGAAAUAUGCAGGAUAGAACCUGGUGUGAGGUUGUGCAGCUAGAUCCCGUAGAAUUCUAAUAGACCCUUGAGGAAGGGAUGGACCGGGAAUCCUAAGCCCCUCAGAAGAAACGAGACAAAGCAAACCCUCUCCUCCUUAUUGGGGUUGGGGAAAUUCUCUGCUAACACGUCAUUGCCAAUCGAGGCUGAUCCCGCCCGCACGGAGACUAGAUCUGCGGGAGGGAGAUACCCCUACGUCUGAAGUCGACUCAGCUGGAGGUGGGAUACUGAGCAGCUUCGCCAAUCACCUUCUUGAGGGCCAUGAGGGCGCGAGGAGAAGCUAGGAGCACUCACCAUGUUUUGAAGUUUUUCGUGGUUUGCCCUGAUGCUCUUUGUGCGAUGUGGGAUAGCAUUUGGGGAUCUAACCUCUUUAUAGAUGCUGCCCGUGCAUGGUAAGGGGCUUAUUUGUAAAAAAGUUAUGGACCGUUCACAUUCACCCGAUGCAUGGAAAUCAAGGCGACGACAGGGAGGAGUCAUAAAGGCAGAACAUGAAGGUCAAAACCAGACUGUCGUCAACCCGGAGUAUGAUGAAAAACCUGCCUUGCAAAGUUGAAGACAUAAGCCGGAUACUACAUCGUCAUUGAAGGCAAGUUCGGGGGCUACUGAGGGAGUCCUAGAUUUGGGGGUCCUCAGGAGUCCGGUCUAUUCGAUAUGGGCCGGACUAAUGGGCCGUGAAGAUAAAGCAGAAGACUAUCCCCCGUGUCCGGGUAGGACUCCUAUGUCCUUUGUCAACAAGUUUGGCAUCCGGAUGUACUGUUUCCUUCUUCUGUAAACCGACUUUGUACAACCCUAGGCCCCUCCGGUGUGUAUAUAAACCGGUGGGUUUAGUCUGUGGAGGCUAUCAGAAUAAUCAUAGGCUAGACAACUAGGGUUUAGCCAUUACGAUCUGGAGGUAGAUCAACUCUUGUAACCUCUAUACUCAUCGAAUACAAUCAAGCAUGACGUAGGGUUUUACCUCCUUUAAGAGGGCCGAAACCUGGGUAAAUAUCGUGUCCCCAUUGUCCCUUGUUACCAUUGAUCCUUAGACUCACAACUUGCCCCCCUACCCGAGAUCUGCCAGUUUUGACACCGACAUCAUGCUUUUCCUGUCAACAAAACGAUCGAGUAGUUCCCAAUACUUCCCAUGCUAUAUAUAUCAUAGGUGGUUCCCAAACAGAAAAUAAAGUUUAUUCCUUUUUACACCAUACUUUCACUUUCCAUGGCUAACUGUAUCCACAGGUGCCUUCCAUACCAACACUUUCCAAGGAAUUUAUUAUUUGACAACAUAAAGUAAAUUGAUUUUUCAUUUCAGGACUGGGCAUCCCUAAUACCUUUGCCGUACUCUCAUGCAACUACAAGUGAAUAAACACUCAUCUUGAGAAUAACACAUCUAGCAUGGAAAUAUAUCAGCCACCCCCUACCGUUUCAUGAGUGGUACAAGCACACAAAAGAGAAAUUUAUUUUUAAAUUUACAGAUGGCACAUACAAAUUUGCUUAGAACGGCAAAAGAGUACCCCAUAUAGGUAGGUAUAGUAGACUCAUGUGGCAAAACUGGUUGAAAGGAUUUUGGAUGCACAAGUAGUGAUCAUACUUAGUGCAAAUGAAGGCUAGCAAAAGAUUGGGAAGCAUCCAACCAAGAAACGAAAAAUCUCAUAAGCGAGCAUUAAGCAUAACUAACACCGAAUAAUGCACCACAAAUAGAAUGUAAUUUCAUUGCAUAACUAUUAACUUUUGUGCUUGCAUAGGGAAUCACAAACCUUAACACCAAUAUUCUUACUAAAGCAUAAUUACUCAUCAACAUGACUCACAUAUCACUAUCAUCAUAUCUCAAAACUAUUACAAAAGAAUCAAGUUUACUUUGUCCAAUGAUCUUCAUGAAAGUUUUUAUUAUAUCCCUCUUGAAUAUCUAUCACUUUGGGACUAAUUUCAUAUGUUGCUUUUGAUAGCUCAAACAAAUCUAAGUGAAGAACACGAGCAUAAUUUUUUUCUUCUCUCAAAAUAAUUUAAGUGAAGCAAAAGAGAAUUUAUUCAAAUUUUUUACUAACUCUCAAAUAAAUCUAAGUGAAGCAUGAGAGCAUUUCUUCAAAAAUAGUAAAGCACACCGUGCUAAAAAAGAUAUAAGUGAAGCACUAGAGCAAUUCCAUAGCUCAUAAAGAUUUAAGUAAAGCAUAGAGAGCAACUAACAAGUCAUAGCAUAAUUUUGGCUACCUCAACUAGGUGUGUCGAGAAAGGAUAGAUGACUUAAAACACACAAAAAACAAGCAAAGACUCAUAUCAUACAAGACACUCCAAACAAAACUCAUAAUAUGUGACGAAUAAAAAUAUAGCUCCAAGUAAAAUACCGAUGGUCAUUAGAAGAAAGAGGGGAUGCCACUCGGGGGCAUCCCCAAGCUUAGUUGCUUGAUUCUUCUUGAAUAUUAUCUUGGGGUGCCUCGGGCAUCCCCAAGAUUAGCCUUUUGCUAAUCCUUAUUCCUUCAUCCGUCGCGAUCUCACCCAAAACUUGAAAACUUCAAUCACACAAAACUCAACAAAACCUUCGUGAGAUCCGUUAAUAUAAGAAAGAAAAUCACUACUUUAAGUACUAUUGCAAACCCAUUCAUAUUUUGUUAUUGUAUUAUACAUACUAUAUUUUAACUUUUCCAUGGUAAAAACUCUUCAAAGGAACCCAUAGAAUCAUCAAAACAAGCACAUAACACAACGAAAACAGAAUCUGUCAAAAAACAGAACAAUCUGUAGUAAUCAGGGAACUUUGUAUACUUCUGUAACUCCAAAAAUUCUGAAAAAUUAGGAAAACAUGGGAAAUUUGUAUAUCAAUCUUGCAUUAAACAAUUUAGAGCAAAAAAACAUUUCUGUGAUUUAUGAAAAUUAUUUUUUGAGCGAAAAGUUUCUGUUUUUGAACAAGAUCAAAUCAACUAUCUCCCAAAUUAUCCCAAAGGCUUUGCUUGGCACAGACACUAAUUUAAACCACAAAAACACAUCUAAACAGAUACGUAAUUGGGUAUUUUAUUGAAAAUAGGAAGAAAACCAAAAACCAAAAAGAUACAAGUUGGGUUGCCUCCCAACGAGCGCUAUUGUUUUAUGCCCCUAGCUAGGCAUAAUGCAAAGGAUCUAAGUAUUGUCAUUUGUAGUUUUAGCAACUUUUGUAAGGGCUUUCUCAAACUCAGGAGGUUCUUUGCGCUUCCCUAAAUUCUCAGGAAAAGAAACCAUCUUGAAAUCUAAGAUAUCAAAAUGCUUAUUGCAAAGAGUGAUCAAAGUAUUCAUUCGAUUGAGGUGCCCACUAAUAUGCUUGAGGGGUUCAUUAUACUUUUGCAACUCAACCAUGCAAAUCACUCAACUUGUCUAAGAUUUGAACCCCUUCUUGAGUAAAAGAAAUCCCCUUCUUAGUGGGUGGUAUUCCCAAGAUCCCUUCUAAGAUCUCAUAAGCAUCAUUAGCAUCAAGUUCGAUAAAAUUUCCUGUAGCGGCAAAAUCUAGAAGUUGCCUAUGACGCAAGGCUAAUCCUAUAUAAAAAUUUCGAAGCAAAACCUUUGCAUCCCCUUUUAAGUUGGUUAUGCGAUAAGAUUCCAUUAAUCUAUACCAAGCAUCUUUCAAAUUUUCUCCUUGGCUCUCCUUGAAGUAUAAAACUUCAAAAUCCGGAGACAAAGGAGGAGUAGUUGUGCUAGUCAUAGUGACAAGACGAGCAAACAAGAUCACACACAUAAACAUAUCUGAAGAUAAAAACGGCGAACAAAAAAGAGGGAGAACAAAACGGCAAAUUUUGUGAAGUGGGGGAGAGGAAAACGAGAGGCAAAUAAUGUAAAUUUCAAGGAGAUGAGAUUUGUGAUUAGGAACCUGGUAGAUGUUGGUGAUGUCUCCCUGGCAAUGGCGCUAGAAAUUCCUUUUGAUGUUGGCUUGAACUAUGUCGAUAUUUACCCAAAGAGGAAGGGAUGAUGCAGCAUAUCAAUGGUAGGUAUUUCCCUCAGUGAUGAGUCCAAGGUUAUCGAACCAGUAGGAGAACCACACAACACCACAUAAAUAGCUCCUGCACACAAAGAACAAAUACUUGCAACCCAACAUAACAGAGGGUUUGUUAAUCCCUCACGGGUAAAAAUAUAGAUAAAAUUGUAGUAGUUUGGAUAAAUAGAUCUAGCGGGAACACGAGAUAACACAAAUAAAUAAAAAUUGCAGCAAGGUAUUUUGUAUUAAUAGAUCUGAAAUAAAAGCGAAUAAAAAUAGAUCUGUAAGGCAAAUAUGAUAAAUAAGAGACCCGGGGCCCAUAGAUUUCUCUAGUGACUUCUCUCGAAAAAAAUAGUAUACGGUGGGUAAACAAACUGUUGGGCAAUUGAUAGAACUUCAAAUAUUCAUGAUGAUAUCCAGGCAAUGAUCAUUAUAUAGUCAUCAUGUCCAAGAUUAGUAGACCGACUUAUGCCUGCAUCUACUACUAUUACUCCUCACAUCAACCACUAUCCAGCAUGAAUCUAGUGUAUUAAGUUCAUGGAAAAACAGAAUAAUGCAAUAAGAACGAUGACAUGAUGUAGACAAGAUCUAUUUAUGUAGAAAUAGACCCCAUCUUGUUAUCCUUAAUGGCAAUGAUACAUACGUGUCGGUUCCCCUUCUGUCACUAGGAUCAAGCACCGUAAGAUCGAACCCAUCACAAAGCACCUCUUCCCAUGGCAAGAAAAAUCGAUCUAGUCAGCCUAACUAAACCAAAGAUUCAAAGAACAAAUACGAGGAUAUAAGUAAUCAUGCAUAUAAUAGAUCAAAAGACUCAAAUAACUUUCAUGGAUAAAAACAUAGAUCUGAUCAUAAACUCAAAGUUCAUCGGAUCCCAACAAACACACCGCAAAAAGAGUUACACCAAAUAGAUAUCCAAGAGACCAUUGCAUUGAGAAUCAAAUGAGAGAGAGGAAGCCAUCUAGCUACUAACUACGAACCCGUAGGUCUACAAUGAACUACUCACGCAUCAUCGAAGAGGCACCAAUGAUGAUGAUGAACCCCUCUGUGAUGGUGUCAAGAUUGGAACUAAUGGUUCUGGAACUUGCUGCGGCUGUAAUUGAUUUUCGUUGACUCCCGUAGGGUUUCUGGAAUAUUCGAGUAUUUAUAGGUGUGGGAGGUCACCGAGGUGGGCACAACCCAUCAGGGCGCGCCUGGGCCCCCAGGCAUGCUCUGGUGUCUUGUGCUCACCUCGGGCCCCCUCUUCGGUACUUCUUUGGCCCAUUGGGUGUCUUCUGGUCCAAAAAAAUCCACAAAAGUUUCGAUGUCUUUGGACUCCAUUUGAUAUUGAUUUCCUGCGAUGUAAAAAAACAAGCAGAAAAGAGGAACGGGCACUUGGCACUAUGCCAAUAGGUUAGUCCCAACAAAUGAUAUAAAAUUGCUAUAAAAUGAUUGUAAAACGUCCAAGAAUAAUAAUAUAACAACACGGAACAAUAAAAAAUUAUAGAUACAUUGGAGGCGUAUCACCUGUCACUGUCACAUGUCGUUCAACCAAAGCUCAAGCUCAUGCAUUGUCAGCAUUCCCUCCCACACGCUCGGAUUGCUGGGUUCGACCGACACCAUACCCUUCGUAUCUCGUCCUUAACUACCUCACUUUCAUGGUUGUUGUCUGUAUCAAGAGGCAGGCACCAAAUCUAAAUUGUACAUUAUUCGAUAUUUAAAACACACAUAACCCCUUCCAACGUACAUCAUUUUGGGUUGCAUGCAGGUGAUGCUGGUUUUGUGGUCCCUCUCGUGCGAUUUUUUAUGAUGGUUCCAUCUAUUAGCCCAAGCGGAAUACACACACACACACACACACACACUAUAUAUAUAUAUAUAUAUAUAUACUAUCCAUUUUUAUUGAAAAAACAGUUGUCGUUUGACCAAGCAAUAGAUUCACUGGUCCGUCUUGUGGUAGGUCAUGGCGACAUGCAUGUAUGACCAAAGUAACAUUACGUGCAUCUGCCCCACUGACAUGGAGUGGGAGGUGGGUCAAGCACCCUAGCUAGGUAGCUACGACAUUAUGUCAUUAUUGAUAUAUCCAAGGUGCUUUUGGUUUUGCGAGGCAGGUCCCACCAAAGUUGUGCAUUGUGUAUUUAAAGUUUUAAACAUCACACCCUAUAUUCCUACAUAUAUUUGGCCACUUCCAGGAGGUUCUUGACUUAUGGCCCCUCUCAUCAAUCUUCAAUGACGCGCCCAACCGUGGGCCCACACGGUCAAAGUUGUGCAUUGGAAUUUUGAACAUCACAGACCACCCUUUUCACUCAUAUAUAUUUGGGCUACAUGCUGGUGUGGCUGUCUUCUGACCCUCUCCAACGUUUUUUUGCUGCAAUGACUCGGAUGACGCUCAAAGGACACGGGUGUAAUUGCUUAACCAUGUGCGAUGCAAGUGCGCUGUGAAAUCACCACGGCUGCGCAAGCGCGAUCAAGGGUGUAGGUAGUGAUUAACUGUCUGCGAUGCUAGUGGGCUGUGAAAUCACCAUGACUGCGCAAGCGCGAGCAGUGGUGGAGGUAGUGGUUUAACCAUGUCCGAUGCAAGUGCGCUGUGAAUCACCAUGACUGCGCAAGUGCGAGCAAAGGUGGAGGUACUGGCACUACAAGAAAUAUGUCAACUUGCGACCAUCACUAUUGGUCGUUGAAUGGUCAUUGUUUUUCAUUUGUGACCUUUUUGUGACCAAAAACAGAUGGUCAAAAGCUGACCGUCUUAAAUGGAAAUUAACAACCUUCUUUGUGAUAAGGUCGUUGAAGGCAACGACCAAAACAAAAGGUCGUUGAUCCUACGACCUUCUGUUUUGGUCACUAGCUGUCUGCCCAGGCCACGUCGGAUCCGACGUGACAAAAUUGAGACCAAUUGAAAAGGUCAUUGAUAAGAAUCAGCCCGGUCCAGUUCGGUGUUUUACAUGGGUUGAGCCCAACAAUUCAACCUAUUUAUUGUUUUUUUUGUGAAUUUUUGGUCGGCUUCAUGGGCCAAGCCCAACAUUUCUACCACAUUAUUUGUGGGCUUUGGUAGUUUUACAAUCUAUUUAUUUUUGGGCCUUGGCCUUUCAAUUUUCUGGGUCUUCACCUUUUUUUAGUUUACCUUUUUCCACAAUCUUGUUCUAUUUUUUAUAUUGUUUGGUUUGCGGCCUUUUUAGGGCCCAAAGAGCAUUUGUUUCAUUGCUGGCGUAUCAACAAUAAAUAACCAAUAUUUUGGUCAGCAGAACCCUAAUCACAGAAAAGUUCACAAAUGAUGACCAAAAUGAGAAUGUUAUAUAUAUUACAAGCAUGCCAUAGUUCACAUCAUCCAGUAAUUUAGAACAGCUUCAAAAGCAUUGCUAUGUAGUAGUAUAUUAUAACCAGUACAUAUUUUUAAUCACGCACGGACAUAUAAUUAGCUACAAAGAUGAAGCCUUCCCAUCAUCUAAAUUCUUUACCCUAGAGCUCCCGCGAAAGAGAGGAAAUGAUCGUUAUUAUUACCAUCAAUCAGAAUGAAAGAAAUAGGUUCCAACAUACAACAACUAGGAAAAGAAUAAUAAACAGAAUAAUAAACAAAUACACAAGCAGCUAGGAGUCAAUCCUGAAGCAUGAGGGCAUGCGUAAAUAUAGCGAAUAUUAUAUUGGUGUAAAAAACUAAAUAGCAGCAGGCUUUGAGAAGACUCCAAAAACUUGCUUGCUCAUAAUUCAGUCAUGUUUUUGACGACAAAUACUACUAAAAUUUAGGCACAAGUCAUAUUCUAAGCAGUAUCAGCACCAUGGCAGUAACAAUGAACAAUAGCAGGAAUGGGGCACAAAUUAGUUAGCUACUAAUGUUCACCAAAUUUAAAGAUUGUCUGUCCUAGCUAACAAAAAUACAACACCAUACUUAGGAACUCAGAGCGAGAAAAGUACAUGUCGCUGAAGAGCUACCACAAAUGAUACCGAUCAAGGAUAAAACACGUAGGUAUCAUAUAAUUCUCAUCACAAUCAUACAAUGAAUUCAUUAAAGGCUACAGAUUCAUUUCUUGACAUAGCAUUGGAAAAUCAUAAGAAUAGUAUAUUAACCAAAGUGCCGAGAUAAGACAUGGAGGUCACCAUCACAUAACAAAGGAAGAGUGGGACAGAAUGAGAACUUACACUCUGGACAGAUCAAAGACUUCGUACUCCCUCUUCCUCGGUGGAUGGAUCAAAGACUUCACUUCCUCUUCCUCGAUGGACGAAUCAAAGACUUCACUUCCUCUUCCUCAUGCACCAUCAGCAACACCAUCUCAAACACCUUGGAGCCUACAACCUACAAAAUAGCACAACCACACACACAGUAAGGACUGAAUUUAGAUCAAUGGAUCCCUCGACAUAAGGCAAUAAGAAACUAUGCUCAUGUAUGAACAAAAAUAAAAAUAACCGAAACUUUGAGGCAAUAGUGUGUGCCAAAAAACUUGACAAAUGCAUACUUAUCCCAUAGGCAGCAAUGUUGCAUCAAGCUUCAGGCCCAUAUCUGUUUGAGAAGACAAGGAGUAUAUACCUGACUUUGUCUCGAUGCGGUGGAUGGGCUGUAGUUGAAGAAAAUCUGGUCCGCAUUGUAAUGUUGCAAGUACUCAUCCAUGUAGAAGUAUCAUGCAACCAAAGGGUUAAGACCACACACAAGGAUCGGUGUUAGCAGAAUUGAGAAAUAUUUGUACAGGGUAAUGAAAGGUGCCAAUCCAGUGCAAGAUAAUAGAGCAAAUAUGUCAAAGUUAUUCAGAUUUGUUAAUGUGUUUAUCACACUACCAAAAUUCAAGAUAAACCAUGAUAGGGAAACAAGUGAAUUACAGCAAAGGAGUCAUAUAAUUUGACUACCACAAUCAUUGAGUGAAUGCAAACAGCAGAGAAUUCAGAAAUUUUCUGAACUGAAUGCAAGCAUCUUAAUAUACAAAUUAUACUAAGUGCCCUUCGCUUUGAGCAUCUUAACAUACAGAUUAUACUAAGUGCUGCACUGGCAGGGUGACAAACAAAUGCUAGAUUAAUGCAAUGAGACUAUGUGUGCUAGCAUCAAGAUAUGAAAAAUGGUUUAUCAAAAGUUUUUUUCAACAUAAUCAUCCUCAUAUAGUUAAGUAUCACAAAGAGGCAUCUAUAAAGCAAUACCAAGCAAAUGAUGCAUACAAACUGAUUAUUAUUAUUAGGAUUUAGGAGUGCUGAUACAGGAGCCAGAAGACAACCCUUGCAUUUAGGGAGAACAUGACACAUCACUACAAAAAAGACACAUCCGUGACAUUUUGGGCCGAAUGAAUUUUUUUCCUGUCAUACAUAUGACACUUCUAUGACGAUAAUUGUGACAAAACCCGGUAUCAUCAUAGAUGUGGUGGGCUCCUACUUCUAUGACAAAAAAUCAUGACAGAAAAUGGGAUUUUCGUCCUAGGCGGGCCGGAGACGCAGCUGCAUGACAUUCUUUGGGCCGUCCAUGACGAAAAAACCGUGGUAGAAGCGAGGGGGAGGAAAAACUCGGGGAGUUGCCGGUUACGGUGGGAGGUCGGGGGCCGAGCGAUACACGUUUCUCUCGUACGCACGCGCGUGUGUGCGAGGCGUUGGCUCUAACUGAAGCUGAGCGAGGCAUUGGGCUCUAACUGAACCCGAGCGAUUGCACUGCAGGCUACGCGUUACUGAACCGGAGCGAUCGAUCGAUGGCUGUUAACUGAACCCGAUGGAGCAAUUCCUUCACUACUGCUGCUAACUGAAGUUGAGCGAUGCUGCCUCUGGGAUGAACAGUNNNNNNNNNNNNNNNNNNNNNNNNNNNNNNNNNNNNNNNNNNNNNNNNNNNNNNNNNNNNNNNNNNNNNNNNNNNNNNNNNNNNNNNNNNNNNNNNNNNNNNNNNNNNNNNNNNNNNNNNNNNNNNNNNNNNNNNNNNNNNNNNNNNNNNNNNNNNNNNNNNNNNNNNNNNNNNNNNNNNNNNNNNNNNNNNNNNNNNNNNNNNNNNNNNNNNNNNNNNNNNNNNNNNNNNNNNNNNNNNNNNNNNNNNNNNNNNNNNNNNNNNNNNNNNNNNNNNNNNNNNNNNNNNNNNNNNNNNNNNNNNNNNNNNNNNNNNNNNNNNNNNNNNGGAUGAACAGUAGACGGUGGAGGGGUGCCCGUGGAUGGGUGGUUGAACAGUAGCCAGUGGAGUAGCGCGCGGUGGAGGCUGGAUGAACAGGAGCCCGUGGAGGCUGGAGGAGGUCGACGGUAGCUCGUGGAGGCUGGAGGAGGUCGACGGUGGAGAUGAACACUAUCCCGUGGAGUCCCGUUUUGCAGUACGCCACACCCCUCCUCCCCCCGUUUCGACCGUAGCACUCCAACACAAGUCCGUUUUGCGGUACGCCACACCCCUCCCGAUCAACAGGACCCCCGUUUCGACCGUAGGAGGUCCGUUUCCUCCGUUUUGCGGUAUGCCACACCCCUCCCGAUCAACAGGACCCCGUUCCAAAUGUAGGAGGUCCAUUUCCUCCAUUGUGCGGUACGCCAUGCCUCGUUUCCAUCGCCUGUUCCGUCCAAGCCCUCCCGAUGAACACGACCACGCAUUCCAUUCCGACCCAGCCGGUUGGCUCCCACGCGUUCCGUUGCCUCCCGAUGAACACGACGCAUUCCGUUGCCUCCCCAUGAACACGACGCAUUCCGUUGCCUCCCCAUGAACACGACACAUUUCGUUGCCUCCCCAUGAACACGACGCAUUCCGUUGCCUCCCCAUGAACACGAGCCCUCGCCGUACGUAUGCUCGACUAGGCGUUCGAGACCCCGCCCGUAUGUACACAUACGUGACCGUAUUUUCUUUCUUGUACCCUGGCCGCUGUACGUACGUGUAGAUGCUACGUGCGCGCCUCUACUACGACACAUGCGCGCCUCUACUACGACAUGUGCGCGCCUCUACAUCGACUAGUAUGUACGUACACGUUCGCGACCAGGAUGACAACGCUACGUACGCUUUGACCAGGUGGGUCCCGACUGUCAGGCACUUCCUUGCCUGCAAAGAUGUAGCUGGUGGGUCCGAGAAGUCAGGGGGGCGAAUCGUUUUUUUUGCCCGUACGCACUUCCUUGUGUGCGAAGGUGUAGCUGCUGGGUCCCAGCAGUCAGGGGGCGAAUCGUUUUUUUUGCCCGGACGCACUUCCUUGCGUGCGAAGGUGUAGCUGCUGGNNNNNNNNNNNNNNNNNNNNNNNNNNNNNNNNNNNNNNNNNNNNNNNNNNNNNNNNNNNNNNNNNNNNNNNNNNNNNNNNNNNNNNNNNNNNNNNNNNNNNNNNNNNNNNNNNNNNNNNNNNNNNNNNNNNNNNNNNNNNNNNNNNNNNNNNNNNNNNNNNNNNNNNNNNNNNNNNNNNNNNNNNNNNNNNNNNNNNNNNNNNNNNNNNNNNNNNNNNNNNNNNNNNNNNNNNNNNNNNNNGGGGAGGCGAAUCGUUUUUUUUUCGGACGCACUUCCUUGCCUGCGAAGAUGUAGUUGGUGGGUCCCAGCAGUCAGGAGGGCGAAUCGUUUUUUCCCAGACGCACUUCCUUGCGUGCGAAGAUGUAGCUCGUGGGUCCCAGCAGUCAGGGGGUGAAUCAUUUUUUUCGCAAAAUACGGUGGCCCGUCUGGUGGGUCCCCGCUGUCAGGUGGAGGAAUAAUUAUUUUGCGCGUAAUAAGGAGGCACUUCCUUGCGGCUGCCGUGGACCCAGCUGUCAGCCUCUCCACGUAUAGUCCACGUCCGAUGGAAGUCGUUCCUUGACCACGUUGACCACGCCGCGCCGAGAGCACCACGACGGUGGACGACGGCGAGGCCUAGGAAGGGGACGACGCGGAGCCGGGGAAGACACGACAGUGGAUGCACACGCGGAGAGGAGUACGAGGGUUCAAUGGUUUGGCUGCGCUGCCGUUGCCACAGAAUAACAGGGGGUGUGGGUGAGUGAAGGGAUGGCCUGGCCAGCGGUGGGAGUAGUAGGGGGCGGUGAGGCCUCCGCGGCAGCACAACUAGCCACGGGAGGCAGGAGCAGGCGGCACGACCGGCGCUGCUUUGGGCGGCUGGAGCAAGAAGACCAGAGGUUGAAGAAGCACGACGGCCGUUGGAUGGACAUCAUACGGUCACUACAGCUAGAAUUGUUUAUAUUGACUAAGUUAACAAAGCCCUUGGUACGUCAACUUAGUAGGCCCACAGGUCAGCUUCCGAAACGGUGCGCUCCAGAUGUCAGGGGGAUGAAUCAUUUUUUGGGCGGGUGAAGCUAGAAUAUCCGAGAUUGAAGAAGAAGCAUGGCAUCCGUUGGAUGGACAUCCAACGGCCACUGCUGCUAGAACCGUGUGUUGACUAUAAGUUGACAAAGCCUUGCAUACCCGUCAACUCUGUUUUUUUAGGGGACGCGUCAACUUAGUAAGGCCAGAAGUGUGUGGCAGAGAACUUAUAGCCCAUUUGAGAUUUGUAAGAAUGUGUAGCCCAUUUUUGAAUUCUAAUGGAAUUUACUACAACCCAUUUAUAGUUUGUUAAAAGUACAACCCAUUUCAACCAACCGUUCAAAACAGAAUUCAAUAAAAUUUCCCACAUUUUGAUGGGAUCCGAAUAUUUUUAUCCCGAAAUUUUAAUCAGAUUAAAUACAAUUUUAAUAUAAAUUUAUAUUGCGUAAAAAUCCAACAAAACAUUCCGCUCGCAACAAUUAAUGAAAUCAAAAUUUUCAAUAUUCCAAAAAUAAUAUUUUAUAAAGUAAUCACUGUUUGGUGCAUUUUUUAUAGUUACUACCCAGUUUUUAUAAUUACAUCCCAUUUAUUAUUUCUUAAAGCCCAUUUUCUUGUUAAGCCUAAUGCAUCCCUCCUAGGAAAGAUUUGCAGCCCAGCACGGCGGAGAAUAACAACUUGACCUUGCCUGGGUAUUCCUAAAAAAAAGUAUAGCCGGGCUAGCCAUUUUCAGCUUGAAAAAAAAUUAAUAUCUGGGCUGGAUAUCUGGCCUGGGCUAGACGGGCCACAGCCCGCCCAGUUAAUACCUGCAGCGAUGUUUUCGUUGUUGUUCAGAGGAGAAAAAUUAAUAUCUGGGGUAAACAUCAAAAAACUCUGCAGUGCUCACACCUCAAAAGCACAAAUACUGCUCGAGCUGCUUGGUCCCAGCUGUCGGCCGCUUCUUGUGCAAUUCUCUCGUUUAUUAACUACUCCCUCCUUUCCGGUUUAUAAUGCUCAAUUCAAAAAUCUCACCAAUCAAGGUAGAUGGCGAGUGGUGGAAUACUUUUUCUAGUUUUGCAAAAGCACCUAACUAAUGCUCUUGUUAUCCUCAAAAAAUUAUGUUAAUCAAUGCAUUAAUUGCAAUGCAUGCAUGCAUAAAGUACAUGCAUUGGUCAAUUUUCUCUUAAUACUUGCAUGCAAUGAUUUAAUGCACCUUGGAAUCUGAACAUGUGAUGGAAAACAACCAAAUUGAGCCUUAUAAAUUGGAAAAACUAAAAUUUUGAGAUAAGCCCUAUAAACCGGAAAGGAGGGAGUACAUAGGUAGACAAUGGUGUGGGACCGUGAUGUCAGGAAACCAGGAGGAAGGAAAAUAAAUUAUAUAUAUAUAUAUAUAUAUAUAUAUAUAUAUAUAUAUAUAUAUAAUAAGGAGGCACUUGCGUACGUGAGGCUAUGGACCUGGUGGGUCCCCAUUGUCAUCCUAUCCAAGUAAAGUGAUCUCCUCGCCUGCGCGCGCUUUCCGCCCGAAACAGUCAGCGCCGGCCGCCCCACUUCCCGGUGCAGGCGAUUGCUCCGCCUUCAAAUGACACAAGUGCCGUCCGUCCGUCCAUUUACUGCACACAUUAAUGAUACGCGGUUGCCGAGGCGGCUACUCCGGCGUCACACGUCCGUCCCUCGGCCCGCCCACCAUUGCUAUAUAAACUACUGCGCCGGCCAUAGCCGCAGUCAUCCGCAUCCGUUGCCUUUCUCCUGUCCACCCCACUACUGCCCACCAUGGCUUCCUCGCGCUCCAGCGCUCUUCGGGACGGGCGGACGACGGACCACAAGGAGAUAGCAGCCAUUGCUACCGACCGGCUGGCCGGCAGGCAGCCGGAGGACGACGACGUCCCAAUGGAGAACAUGGUAGUCGACAAUCCGGCGCCAACCCCCUCCUCCGCGCCAUCCUCGCCGGUGCAUUGCACCAUGACCAUCGGUGAGGCCCGUGCCCAAUAUAUGGACAAGGUGAGGCAGAUGCGUGAGGAGCAGUUCUGGGAGGCGCAAGCCGACGCCGCCUACAACCACCAUCUCCUCCAGGAGCACCUGUAGGCGGAGGAGCAGAUCGCCGCGGAGCGGGCGGAGCAGGAGGCGCUGCUCGACUCGUACCGCUCCGCCCGCAAGGGCCGCCUCGAGCGCUGGCGGUACCGCAUGCGGGUGGUGGAGGCUGCGGCCACCUACAAAGAGGCUAGCAAAGAGGGCGAUGAAGCGCGCGAGGCGCUGUUUGGCGAGACCAAGGAUGAGGUAGAGGACAAUGCCGGCUCCGACGAGUCCCCGCUCCGCUGGCAUCGACAAUGCCCUGCUCCGCCGAUGCCCCGUGGCGCCAACAACGAGGCAGAGGACACCGUCGGCUCCGCCGAGGCCCCGCCCCGCCAACAACGAGGCAGAGGACAUCGCCGGCUCAGCCGAGACCCCACCGUGCCGGCAACGUGGGGGAGGAUUUCCACCGCUCCGCUGAGGCGCUGCCCGCCGGCAAAGAGACAUCGCCGGCUCCUCCGAGGCCCCGCCCCGCUGCCAACGAGGCCGCGCCACACAGAAAACGAGGAAGAGUAGAACAUGGUAGGUCUCCGCCGCUCGGGUCCAAGUAAAGCCACCGCUGCUACCCUCUGGUUGAAGCCAAGCUAGGCAGGUUGACCAUUGACGGACGGUUAGCUUCUUGGCGGCGAUGUGGAGUCGGAGAGCUGCGCUGGAGAAGAACGCUGCUUCUACUUAACUGCUGGUGCAGUUGGCUGACUGACACGUGGGCCCAACAGGCCACAUGUCAGUUACGCAACUGCACAUGUAGUUAAGUCACUGAAGCUUCUGUUCGGCUCAGCGGGACACAGGUGGGUAGCUUCAGUUAAUUAAUUAUACCUCCAGCACACCCCUUUUUAGUUUUUUUUCGAAAAGGAGGAUGACCCCUGGCCUCUGCAUCUGGGAGAUGCAUGCAGCCACAAACACCCCCUUUUUAGUUGAAUAAUGUAUGAAAUGUAAUGAAAUCCGGCAUGUUUAUAUGAAAUCCGACCGUGUAUGAAUGAAUUUAUUUCGAUUAGUUCGAAUUCCUGUAUCACUGGCAUUGGAUGAACAUGCAAAACAAUACAUACUAGCAUUAUUCCCAAGGUGAUCACCACGUUUGCAUCAGUUUCACAUGUACUCCCUCCGGUCCUUUCUAGUCUGCAUACAAGUUUUGUCUGCAGUCAAAGUAUGUCUACUUUGACCAAUCUUAUACAAAAAAGUAUGCACUUUCACAAUGUACGAAGUAAAAAGGAACAUAAGGAGUACAAAGAGUUUGAGCAGCUUUUUAGCGUUUCUGUACAUUGCAAUCAAACACACAGGCCUGGCAAUUCAUAGAGAACAUUCAAAACAAUCGAUGAUUAUGCAUCUCAGCGACUCACAUGUCAGAGGCAAUAUUUACUUCACAACUGAAGAAUAAAGAAAAAUUGAUCACCGCUGCUGACAGCAAAGGGCGUCCCAUUUGAAAAUAUCAAACGCAUAUCUUGCUAAAAUCAUGAGCAAAAUUUGACAAGGUUGUCCCAUUCCAAAAUAUCAAAUGCCUACGAUUGUGGAAUGGGCAGGGUUUGCCAUCAGUUCGUACAUUGACAUGGCAACUUGUGCUAAAUAAACCAGCUGUUCUUUUUGUGCAGUUCCACCAAAAUCAACCAAAUUCGCGCGUAGCUUGUAUGAUUUCGCCCUUAUAUGUUGCAACGCCUUGAACUUAUGGGCACCUCCUUUCUUGUGGUGGAAAUGAAUGAUUCGAUGUAUUCAUGAACAUUUUGUGCAGUUCCCGUUGAAAUCAAGUUGAGCACCCCUGUUUGCACAAAUACAAAAAAGUGAUUAGUAUAAAGCAAACUAUACUAUGAAUUGACAGUUUCAACAGGCACAUACAUGGUCCAUGUAGAGCACACUUUUAGAAAAAUGGAACUCACCAGAAAGAAUCCUAGAACAACAUUGUACUCGCGCAUCACAGCAAAAAAAAUGGAGAUUUGUCAGUCCUUCUGAGCUGAAGUUAGUUUGGUCUUGUGGGGAGUAAUGUAACCAUCCUUCAACUGCUCCUUCCGAUGAGAAGAUAGACAGUGCUUCUUCAUCCUGGCAUAAUCGGAACUAGUCACUUCACGUACUCAUAUUCUUCUUCAGAGGAAGAUGAUCCUGUUGUGCAAAGACAAGAGGACUACUAAAUGCUAGCAUCCAUGUUUGCUCGAAGAAAGGAAAGGAAAUAUUUAAAACAACACAGAUGAAGCACUUCCCAAGGACAAUACCACUUUUUCAUGACAGUAUCUAAACAGUAGCACAACACCAAUAGAGAUGACAAAGCUCAAUCAUAUGGAUGAAAUCAGUGGGCGAGUACCAACCUUUGUCAGGAGGCUGAUUGUGUAGAGCAUACAUAUGAAGCACUUCUCGGGAACCAUAUGUUGCUAUCUACGGGGGUGGCCAUGCUUACUAUAUACUCCUCGAUUAGUUUAAUGUUUCCAACAUCUUCUUGUGCAGUUCCACUAAAAUAUAUGGUAUCUUCAAAGAAGAUCCCUGUUUGCACAAGUAGAGAUAAUUACGUAUGGCAUCAAAUCAGUGGCAAAACAAUUGCUCGUUUCAGCCAUAGCAAUAAAUUAAGAUGCAAAACUAUAUCAUUACUUGUGUCAUCAUAGUUCCAGUGCUUCAUUACAGCACCGGGAGUUGAUUUUUGUUUUUCUUCCACUUGUUCUUCCCCGUCAUCACUUGGUUCAAUAACAGACAAGCUUUGCCUUCAAUGUAAGAUUUGGCAUGUCAAUUAGGGAGCACAAGUAUAGUACUAAACUUAAUUUUAUGAUGAAAGUGGCAAAAUACAGGCCAACAGUUGUGAAAUAUCCUUAUCUUACCUCAACGGGAUAUUACGAUGCACAUACAGAUAGGAAGUCUUGUCUCCAUUUGUGCAGUUCACUAAAAUCAAGCAACAUUAUCGUACAAGUAGCACAACAUAUGAAAGCACACUACAGAAUCAUGUGAAAGAAGGCUGGUACUGACCUCUCAUGAUGCGGAAUUCAAACAACUCACAAGAAGAAGAUCUGAACCAAAUUCUCCUUAACGGAUAGGAAGUAAGAUCUCCUCUUGUGCAGUUCCACUAAGAUCAAGCAAUCAAGCAACGUUGUCGGUGUGCCAUUUUGGUUGAACUGCACAAAACACUCUUAAAACAGAAGUGAUUUGUGCAGUGCAACAAAAGGUCACAAUGGCAACGAGGUGAACUAGAUAACCCUAUUUACACAGAGGUGCAAAGGAAACAAUUAGUGGUCAAUAACGGUGGAUGACACAGAAGCCAACAAAAAGAAGCAUCUACCUUAUAUAAAUGGGAAAGAAAGCAAGACAAUAGCAUUUCUCAAACGGUGGCAUUGAUUAAUAUUAACAUAGAGAUUAUAUUAACAAUAAAAUUCGUUAAACAUGUAAUUUGCUUUUAACUGUGGCAUUGCAUCAAUUUUCCAGCGACAUUGUCGGUGUCAAAACCGGCGGAUCUCGGGUAGGGGGUCCCGAACUGUGCGUCUAGGCGGAUGGUAACAGGAGACAAGGGACACGAUGUUUUUACCCAGGUUCGGGCCCUCUCGGUGGAGGUAAAACCCUACUCCUGCUUGAUUAAUAUUGAUGAUAUGGGUAGUACAAGAGUCGAUCUACCACGAGAUCAAGGAGGCUAAACCCUAGAAGCUAGCCUAUGGUAUGAUUGUUGUUCGUCCUACGGACUAAAACCCUCCGGUUUAUAUAGACACCAGAGAGGGCUAGGGUUACACAGAGUCAGUUACAAUGGUAGGAGACCUACAUAUCCGUAUCGCCAGGCUUGCCUUCCACGCCAAGGAAAAUCCCAUCCGGACACGGGACGAAGUCUUCAAUCUUGUAUCUUCAUAGUCUUGGAGUCCGGCCAAUGAUGAUAGUUCGGCUAUCCGGACACCCCCUAGUCCAGGACUCCCUCAGUAGCCCCUGAACCAGGCUUCAAUGACGACGAGUCCGGCGUGCAUAUUGUCUUCGGCAUUGCAAGGCGGGUUCCUCCUCCGAAUAAUUCAUAGAAGAUUUCGAACACGAGGAUAGUGUCCGGCUUUGCAAAAUAAAUUCCACAUACCACCGUAGAGAGAAUAAUAUUCACACAAGUUCCAUCUGCUGACGUACUUCGUGGCAUGACAUCACACCACGGCCAAGCCUUUAUUCGAAUUGUUUUUAUUGUUCCACCUCAGCGCGUUUAGCGAAGCGGUUUCCUUGGCACGUCUUGUCAAAGCAGAGAUCGUGUCCCCUUAUUCUGGGAUUCUCAUCAAUACGGGCGUGGGUAACCCAACCGCGCCCGUUGGCAAGCCCCCUCCAUCGAUGGCGAGUCCCAAACGGUCACGGGGACGGCUCUUGGUAUUCAACCCCUUUAUAACGAGACCAAGGCCUGUUCCUUUUCUUCAAUCUCCAAUCGAAUCCGCCCCUCGCCCCGAGUUCCAACACCCAAGGCUCCAGAUUCGGGCGCUUCGGACCUUCGAUAAUAUCCGGCUCUGACCUACAAGGCCGGUGGAUGCCUUCUUCCGUCACGGAAGAAGAUGUGCUAAAGCUGAGAGACGCCAGGUAUCUAACCGGCGAAAUUCCGCAUAGGCUGCCUGCCCAAGGGCAAGUCAUUCCUACUCCCGAGCCCGGCGAGAGCGUGGUUUGCGUGUCUCACUUCCGUCGGGGUCUAGGUUUCCCGAUGGACCCCUUUGUGAGGGGGCUCAUGUUUUACUAUGGGCUAGAAUUCCAUGACUUGGAUCCGGAGUCCAUCCUCCACAUCUCAUCGUUCAUUGUUGUAUGCGAAGCCUUCCUCCGCACUACCCCUCACUUUGGAUUGUGGCUCAAGACCUUCGACGUGGAGCCAAAGAUGAUCGAGGGGCAGCCGGCAGAGUGCGGAGGGGCAGUUAUAAGCAAGAGGGCUGACGCUCCAUGGCCCGAGGGCUUUUUUCAAGAGGAGCUUCGGUUGUGGCAACAGGAGUGGUUCUACAUCACCGCUCCCAGGGGCACCAGAUGGGUGGCGCUGCCUGCCUUUCGCUCGGGCCCUCCACAGCGGCUGGCAUCAUGGGUCAACAAAGGGCUUGACUGGGGGCCGUCCAAGGACGUACCAUUGUUGCAGGGCCGUAUUCGAGACCUCCAAGAGAGGGAGAUCAAUCUGGUUGUAGUGGCGCAGGUCAUGCUGAUUCGGCGCCUUCUGCCCUGCAAAUGUUGCCCCCUCCACCUGUGGGAAUUCAAUCGGGAGGGACCGUGAGCUCUCCAACACUUCAUGGGUGCGACACCCGUGGAGAUGUAUAAACUGUUCUUCGGUUCACAAGAGAUGUGUCCGGACUUGACCGAGGAUGCAUGUCUGAGCUGCAAUCGCCCGGAUACUCAAGUAAGUAGUCCUAUGCCCGGACAUGCUAUCCGUACAUUUAUCAUAAACUUGCCCUUUAAAGAGCUGUCCCUUGAACAGGAAUGGAUAGCAAAAGCAAAACUUAUAAGGUGUCUGGCCCCCCUCCCUGAGACCACGCCGGAUCCCGUGUUAACCAAGAUGCUGGAGGUUGCACCAUUGGAAGAGGGCGAAGGAGGGAACAGGAAGGCUACCGCCUCCGCUAAGGAGGCUCUUAAGGAAGGGGGGAUCGAGAAUCCCCCCUCCAAGGGGAGAACAGGACCGCUUCUGAAGAUCCGGAGGCUAAGGCCUCAAAGCGGGGGAAGAAAUCUUCACCAGAGGGUCCUGCACUGGGAGGAGCCCCGGCCGCACUCUUUCCCCGAGGAAAUCAGCCCUCUAGCGAGCCGUAAGUAGAAAGGGGAGUUUUGCAAUAAGGGACAUCCCUGUUUUUAUUUCUGAAGAUAAACAAAGUUAUUACCUUGUAGUUCGGAUCUCAGCCCUUCUCAGCAGAGCUCAUCUUCAGGGGAUCUUCGUCCGGAGAUGAUGGAGAGCGAAACGCCUCCAUCUGCCGCACCAUCAGGCGGGGCGGACGACCCUGAGGUGUCGUCGCGGAGGGUCUCCCCGAGUCCGGCGGGGCCGGAGAGUUCGGCACCAACUGGUGUACGGCCGGAGGAGUUGAAGGAUCUGCUCGGGCGGGUGUCUAUCUCAGAAGAUCACCGUAUGUUAAUGGGUAUGGUGAUUGAAAGGAUUUCAUCCGCUGAGAGCGGGUUGCAUGAGGCCGUCAUAAGUUUACUGACGGGGUUUGAGGUACGCGAAAAUGAUAUACCUUCUGACAGUUUUGCACAUAAAAUGUGCCCUGUAUAGAUAGUAGCCCCUGAGACUCGGUACGUUGUCAAAAGCGACAGCGUGCCGAGGAUCAUAAUCUCACUUGUAAGAUGUCGCCUUUCCUGUACAGGUGGCGGAGCGUUCGGUGGCCAGCCGGACUGAUAUAGUUGCCGAACUGAAGCGGCAACUUGACGUUGCGGAUGCGGACAUCGCGCUGGUCAAGAAACGACUUGACGAGUCACAAGGUAUGUGGCUUCUCCGCGGACGCCUGGUAAGGGAGCUUGACGCCCGUGCCUUACAACAUGUACGCUUAAUGCAGAUGGUGCCGCUGCUAUGGAGGAUCUUCGGGCGGAGCUUGCCCGAGCCAAGGAGCAAGCCAGAAAAAGUAAUGCGGCUGCCUCGAAGGCGACCGAAGAGCUAAAAGCCGAACAGGCUGCUCACUGCCGAAGUAGGGAGGAAAUGGCCGAAAUGGCCGUGAAGCUGAAGGAUGCUACCGACCGCUAUGAGUUUCUUGAAAGAGAACACCGAGCGGAGCAAGAGGGCCUGAAGAAGGCCACCGCCGAAGCCAAGGAUGGCCGCUCCGUGAUGAGAGCUAUAAAAGAGGAGCUCCGUCAGGCCGGUGAUAUUGCGGAUGGAAAGCCUUUUCUGCUGCGUAGGAAGUUCACGGAUCUGAAGUAUGCUCAGUUGGGCCAGUUGUGGGGUGCGAAGGAUGCUUAUCUGAAUUUGGCGGCGAGUGCCGCAGAUGCAGUCGCACACUUCCGAGGCCAAAAGGAUCACGGAAUGGAAGAGCUUUUUUGGUCGCAAUUCCAUAGUCCGAAGCAUCCACUUCCAUUAACCGAUCGGUUAGCUGAGUGGGAUGAGCUGAAUAGGUUGUCCGGACUUGCCAUGAAGGAUGUCGUGGCUCAUUUGUGGCCGAAAAGGCCCGAGCCGAAGAGUUAUUUUGGCUUGGUGCAGCAGUUCCUUGAUGCGGUGCCGCAUAUCGAGGCGAUGAAGUGGUCGGCAUGCAUAGAGGGUGCGCGGAUGGCUCUCGCCCGUGUCAAAACAUACUGGGCAGAGAUGGAGGCCACCGACGUUGCAUCCCAGGAUUCGGACAGAAGCCGAUUACCAGCUGAGCACUAUUUUGAGGAAGUCCUGCAGGGCGCUCGUUUAAUAGAGAUGCAGUGCUCAAAAAAUGUUAUGUUCAAAUGACAUAUAUGAUUUGUGAAACCAUGUUUCAAAUAUAAUAUAAGGGCUUUUUAUACUUGUGCGUUCAAGUGUUGAAAUACCUCCUAUGCGACCGUUAACGUAUAUGCGUAUAUAACCUGAAAGAUGGCAGUCUUCGGCUUCAGCCCCCACGCACAUAGUGCGGGGGUGUUUGCAAAAAGGCGCAUUUUCACACUUAAUCCAACGUCUUGGUCCUGUGAAGGAGGUGAUAGCGUAGCAAACUAGGAAACCGGACUAUAAUGCUUUAUCACUUUCACUUAGCCAUAGGAGUUCGAUGGUGGGGCUACUAUAUAGCCCCUGGGGGCACUGCGCUCUUUGAAUUUCGGGGCGCAUAUGUGCCUGACCGGGAAACAGUCCUUCGUUAAAGCGGAGGAAUUCUAAACAUUCCGGUGGUCGAUCGAGUGGUUGACCAGUCUCUCGCUAUAUCAUGACAGUCAGUUUUCGGCUUUCUCUACUGAGGUGCUCACCUGGGCGAACCGGGGCACAAUCACAGUAGUUCUCCUGGUGCCGCGUUGGCCGAUAGAGCGGAAUGUAAGGCAGCAAAACACAGGAGCCGGGCAAACCCAACAUUUGACCAAAGACAUGAUUCGGAGCUGAUGCAUAUAAGGCCUAACUCGAGACGCCGAACACUCCCUAAGGUAUUCGGUCUUUAUGAAAAUGGGCAGAACAAUGCCCUAAGCCCCUAGUGUCCAGGUACGCGCAAUUUUUUUUGAAGCGGCCGAUGCCAAAACGCCAGCUUCCUCCUCGGUUAUGGUGAGAAACCGGGGGAUGUGUAUCAACAAGAGACAGUAAGAAAGGUUUACGCAGGGUCUUAAUCUGAAAAGAAUCCUUGCAACGGGUCCCUACUGCACGUUUGCACCCGUGUCUCCGUUAUGCCGUAUCCUGGACGGGCAUAGCACAGUGUUCAUCUGUAAAAGAGAAGAACUUAGUUUGAAAAAGGGGUCGUGCGAAAAAUGUAUAGACAGAAUAUAAGUCAAAAACGAAUAAAAUUGAGCUUUAUUGUCUCUUAUUGUACAUGCGUGCAGCCCCUUGUAAGGGGGGACACGACUAGUAAGCCCCUUGUUUAUUUGUGCCGGACUCGCCUAACCGUGUCCGGGGUCUGAAUGACCUGUUUGGGUGCUUUGAUCGGUGAAGCCGGAUUAAUGUGUGGCUGUCAAGGCAGUCUUACUUUCUUCCAUAUUCGAGGAACACUCAAGGUUUCCCUUUAAUGAGAUUAUGCCACGUGGACCGGGCAUUUUAAGUGUAAGAGAUGCAUAAUGCGGUAUUGCGUUAAAGCGGGCGAAAGCUUCGCGUCCCAAUAGUGCUUGAUAGCUACUUUUAAAUGGGGCAAUGUGGAAGACUAACUUUUCGCGACGGGAGUUGUCGGAUGAGCCGAACACAACUUCUAGUGGUAGAGAGCCCGUACAAUGGGCAUAUGGGCCUGGCAUCACUCCUUUGAAGGAAGUGUUGCUAUGGUGUAUUUUGGUUGGGUCUAUCCCCAUUCUGCGGAUUGUAUCCUGAUAUAGUAGGUUUAGAUCACUGCCGCCGUCCAUUAGGACUUGUGUAAAUUGUAGUCCGUCGAUUACAGGAUCUAAUAUCAGGGCAGUCCAUCCUACGUUCCGGAUACUUCCGGAGUAAUCCUGAUGGUCGAAAGUGAUUGGUUUUGACAUCCAGUGUCGGGACUCCGCUGGGGUGGACCGUGCGGCGCGUAUUUUAAUGGGCGCCGCUCUACUUUUGCCUGUUGUCACAUUAAGUGAGUUUACUGUUUUGACCUCUUGUGGGAAAUUCCUUUGUUUGCCGGUGCUCUGCUUGUGGAGUUCGUCACCGUCCUCACUUAGUGUUUCGAGCCCCUUGUGUUCGGCAUUAAGUCGGCCGGACUGUUUGAAGACCCAACAAUCUCUGUGGGUAUGGUUUGCAGGCCUCCCGGAGGUGCUGUGGAUUUGGCAUGUCUUGUCCAAGAUUUUGUUUAGGUUGGAUAGCUCGUCGCUGUUGUCCUUGAGAGGCAGUGUUUUGUUGCUCUGCCGAGAGCUUUUGAACCCGGCAUUGACUGCCGUGUUCUUUGGGCCAUUUCCCUUAGUUCGGCGCUGGUCCUUUCUACGUCGUGGUUUCCCAUUUCCAUCCCUGACCUCGGAUGUACUUGGGUCGCUGGUGCUGCAUCUUGCCAGCCAGCUAUCCUCUCCCGCGCAAAAGCGGGUCAUGAGGCUUGUUAAUGCGGCCAUUGUUCAUGGCUUUUCCUCGCCGAGGUGUCUGGCGAGCCAUUCGUCUCGGACGUUAUGUUUGAAGGCUGCUAAGGCUUCGGCGUCCGGACAGUCGACUAUUUGGUUCUUUUUGGUGAGGAACCUGUUCCAGAAUUUGCGGGCCGACUCUCCGGGCUGUUGGGUUAUGUGACUUAAAUCGUCUGCAUCCGGAGGGCGGACAUAAGUCCCCUAAAAAUUUGCCCGAAACGCAUCCUCGAGCUCUUCCCAACUUCCAAUGGUAUUUUCUGGGAGGCUUUUGAGCCAAUGCCGAGUUGGCCCUUUGAGCUUGAGGGGUAAGUAUUUUAUGGCGUGGAGGUCAUCUCCUCUAGCCAUAUGUAUGUGCAGGAUGUAAUCCUCAAUCCAGACUCCAGGGUCUGUUGUUCCGUCGUAUGCCUCUAUGUUUACGGGCUUGAAUCCCGCUGGAAAUUCAUGAUCCAGCACCUCAUCGGUGAAACAUAAGGGGUGUGCAGCGCCCCUGUAUUUGGGCAUGCCAUGAUGUUCAAAUACUCAACGUGUUGUAUUGCUUUAUGGGGCUUGCUUUCUUGGCCCAUAGAUGGACCUGACUGGGCCAUCCUUUUUGUGAGGAUCCAUAUGUGGAUCGCGUGCCGGCUUAUGUGCGGCGCCGCUUGUUGCUCUUUGUUUGCUAUGUGGUCGUCUAUCCGACCGGGCGGCCUCUUUGUUUUUUGAUUGUGGGGGCUCUGCGGCCUCCUCGUCGAAUUCGGGCAGUAGUUUGCGCUUUGGGUAGCUUUUUGCUUGGCGACUAUCGCCGUAUUUGUCUGCGGUCUUGAGUACUUUGCUCCAUCUCAUUCUGAGUACGUCUUCCGCUGUUUUGAGCUUCUGCUUCUGCUUCUUCAGACUUCGUGCAGUGGCGACGAGCCUUUUGUGGAGGUUCUUCUGCUCCAAUGAUGUGUUCGGCAUGAGAUCGUCCGGACUGUUGUUUUCACUAGGGAUGGAUUGCUUAUCCAAUUUAUCCUGUUCGGAUGGUUUCUCGGGGGCAUGUUCGUCGUCCACCGGUUUGCCCUGCUCUACGGCUGGGUCCGUAUGGGUGCUGUUGUUGUCGGGGCGGGACUUUGGGCGGCGCUUGCAUUGCCGUUUCGGCUGUUUUUCGAGGGAGUUAUCCUUCACAGCGUCCCGUUGUUCCUCGUUAUCGCUUGCUUUAGGUGUGCCCACCAUAUAAACAUCGUGAGUUGAGGUGGCCUUCCAGUGCCCUAUAGGCACUGGGUCUUGGUCGUCUCCGGCAUCGUCGUCCAUACCGUCGAUAUCUUCGGAGUCGAAGUCUAGCAUGUCGGUUAAGUCAUCGAUAGUGGCUAUGAAGUGGGUGGUGGGUGGGCUUUGAAUUUCUUCGUCGUCCGCAUCCCAACCGUUCGGACCAUAAUCCGGCUAGGGCUCUUAUGAUAAAGAGAGACACUUUAGCGAAUUCAGGAUGUCACCAAAAGGUGAGUGCUGAAAGAUGUCCACAGCGGUGAACUCCAUGAUCGGCGCCCAAUCGGAUUCGAUUGGCAGGGGCGCGGAAGGUUCGGGGUCCGGAGAGGAGUCCGACACCUUGGAGUCACGAGCUUCACAAGGGACAGGGGUCAGUAUUUGGCUCUAUCGCCAUAGAGGUAGCAGCCCCCGAGGUGGUGUCCAGCCACCCAUCCUCGAUUGGCGGCGUCGGCUCCGAGCUAAGGGUCGGAGCGGACUCUUGUGCGGCCUCCAGGGCACUGUCCGGCAGCAGAGCUAAAUCAUGCCCAUCGUGACAGUGCGGCGUGCUCGGCUGUGGCUCGAAUCCGUCGAAGAUCAAGUCUCCGCGGAUUUUGGCCAUAUAGUUCAAACUUCCAAAUCUGACCUGAUGGCCAGGGGCAUAGCUUUCGAUCUGCUCCAGAUGGCCAAGUGAAUUGGCCCGCAGUGCGAAGCCGCCGAAUACGAAGAUCUGUCCGGGGAGAAAAGUCUCACCCUGGACCGCGUUGUUGUUGAUGAUCGAAGGAGCCAUCGGGCCUAUAGGUGACGACACAGAGGAACUCUCAAUGAAAGCACCAAUGUCGAUGUCAAAACCAGCGGAUCUCGGGUAGGGGGUUCCGAACUGUGCGUCUAGGCGGAUGGUAACAGGAGACAAGGGACACGAUGUUUUUACCCAGGUUCAGGCCCUCUCGGUGGAGGUAAAACCCUACUCCUGCUUGAUUAAUAUUGAUGAUAUGGGUAGUACAAGAGUAGAUCUACCACGAGAUCAAGGAGGCUAAACCCUAGAAGCUAGCCUAUGGUAUGAUUGUUGUUCGUCCUACGGACUAAAACCCUCCGGUUUAUAUAGACACCGGAGAGGGCUAGGGUUACACAGAGUCGGUUACAAUGGUAGGAGACCUACAUAUCCGUAUCGCCAAGCUUGCCUUCCACGCCAAGGAAAAUCCCAUCCGGACACGGGAUGAAUUCUUCAAUCUUGUAUCUUCAUAGUCUUGGAGUCCGGCCAAUGAUGAUAGUUCGGCUAUCCGGACACCCCCUAGUCCAGGACUCCCUCAGGCAUUAUUAGAGAGUGUUUGUUUACAAGGACAUUUUGGUGUAGGGACUAAAAAUACUCCGUGUCAGUCACAUCUAAACCAAACAGGAGGGACUUUUCGGAACUAAAAGUGGGCAUUUGGGACUAAAGAAAGAAGACCCCGAGGGAGUCUUUUUGGGACUUUUUCCAACAGUUGCCCCUGCCACGCAUCGCACCUUGUUUCUAUUAGUUCAUUACUAGGGGUAACAUGGUCUUUUAUCAUGUCAUUUAAUAACCUCUAGUCCAUGUUUAGUCCCUGGAACCAAGCAGGUAGGGACUAGGGAGUUUUUAACCAAACAGGGCCAUAGAUUAACAACAGCUAAUGAGUUGCACGGGACAGUGGACACACCAGCACCAUGUGCAUCUACCGAUGUACUGUGGUCAUGCACAGUCUGUUGCAACAAAGAACAAACAACCAAGGAUCAUAUUUGUGUUGGUCCCAGAUUUGUUAUCUUUAGACACCUUUCCCUAUGUGAGCGCAGCAAAUCUAGUCCUGCUCAAACUCUACAGCCUUGUCCCUUCCUUUCCUUUUUGAACUAGUACUUUCGCCCCUUCCUUUCCUCUUUGAACCACGUCCUAGAUUUAUGCGAUACAACUUUCCCCACUACUUUCCCCCAUUCCUUUCCUCUUUGAACCAUGUCCUAGAUUCAUGCUAUACAACUUUCCCCCUUCAUUUCCUCUUUGAACCACGUCCUAGAUUCAUGCUAUAUAUAACUUUUCCCACUACUUUCCCCCACUCCUUUCCUCUUUGAACCACGUCCUAGAUUCAUGGUAUACAUGCAGCUAGAGCAAUGCAUGUGGAGUAAGUAAAAUAUACCUUAAGGUUCUUGGGGCAUGGUUCGGUGGGCGACGGGACGAUGGCGAAGAAGAAGGGGUCGGAGGCCCUCCCGCGCCGCCGCUGGGUGGAAAGUGAACAGCAACGCCGGUAGUGGAUUCCCUCCCUCGCCGACGGCGACAGCGUUAAGCCUCCUUCCCUUCCCGGCGGAUGGAUCCUGCUGGCUCUUUGAGCAGCAAUGAGGGGAGAGAGAGGCCAACGGAGUCUUGUUUAGAUCUGGAGAGGGCGAGAGAGUGUCAAUAGAGCAACUACAAGCGCUGAGGAUCCAGCGGGAGAGGGGGAGAGAGUGUGAAGAGAGCAACUACAAGCGCUGAGGCUCCAGCGUGUAUAUAUAUACUGGAGAGAGAGUGUGAAGCGUGCAAACCCUAGAAAACAUUUUGACCAGUCAAAGAAUCCUCCUGGCAAAAAUUAUGCUCAAGUGUAGUUAUCGAACCCGAGACCUCAAGUUUGAUGAGCGAACAGGCUAACCAGCUACACAACCCUCCCGUUAUGUUCAACGAGAGGAAAAUAACCUUUUAUACAUUCCUGCAUUCGUGUGACAGGCAUGCCGUGUUUGUGUGUGUGUGUGUGUGUGUGUGUGUGUGUGGGAGUCAUUAGGAUUUCAAUCAUAAUCGUGUCAUGUGGCUUUGGUGGUAAGACUAUCCACAGUGGUGCAGAAAUAAUGCAGCCUUAGUCACCUUACCUCUCUCCACGUAGUACAUUGGGUCCCACCAGUCAGAGGGUGAAACAAACAAAUUAAUAAGAAAAAUUAAAAGUGCCAGCGAUGUAUCUUACUACCCCACACAUCUCGCUACUGCUCGGGAACACUGUCCAAUUGAUCCCUCUGUUCGCUCAUGUACUAUUUUAAGUGAAUCCUUAUUAUAACAUGCACACAAAUUUUGGGCACUUGUAUUCGACUUAAGUCAGUGUGCCACCAUAUGUCGUAUACUUACUACUCCCUCCGUCUAGGUGUAAUAAGUCAUGUUAGAAGGUGCAACGGGACCAAGGUGCGUGCGUGUGCGUGUGUGUGUUUAACAGCAUGUGUGUGUUAGAGAGUGCGUUAGAUCAACCUACUCCUACAGAGAUAUGGUGUGUAGUGUAUGAUUUUAGCCGUGAGAGUCAGUGCAUCCUCUCGUUUCUGGGCGUGUCCGGUAGGGACAUGCGGACAGCUGCCAUGCCCCCUCCUGACCAGCCUAGCCCACCCAAAGCCCCUCCACCGCCCGCGCGUGCUUCCCGCCCGAAAUGGUCAGCACCGCUCCAAAGAAUCGGUGCUGCAUUCAUGCCCGGGCAGAGCGGACGUGACCUCUCACUGGCGCAAGAGUGAUGGUUGCUUCGUCCGUCCAACUUACUGCUGGGUCUAUGUGAUUUGACGGCUCAUUGGUCUUUAUUACUGAGGUGGUAGGACUGCUGGAUGUCCCAUGCUUUCGGCGAAAGGAGGUAGUAGAUUACAAUUUUCUCCAUUCUUACAGCGGAGGAGUGCAAGAGCAGUGAAAACACACAGGCUCAGUGAUUACAUGGCCCACCUCACACUAUCACCGUGCGACACCUAACUCUUUACAUAGUACUCCCUCCAUUCCUAAAUAUUACUAGAUGAGUCCCCGCUCGUUGCCGUGAAACAGCGGUAUAUCUCUCUACGCAAAAUUAUCAAUUUCAUAGAACUAAAAAAAAA